GUCAUUUCGCAUCCUCCUGUUUCUGGGAAUCAUUCCCGGAUUCGACAUUCGAUACUGGCCGCGGUUCCGCAAAGCGAAGCCAAAAAGGCGACGCGACAAGCGCGAGGAGAGAGAGGAACCUGAGCGAGGCGCACCAGUUUCAAUUCAAGCAAUCCCUAGCCCGUGGCGACGUGGUGGGAAGCAAUUCGAAUCUGCGGUGAAGCCUAGGUGACGGCGCUGUUACUCGCCUCUCGGGGCGGGCCGGCUUGUCCGAUCGGUUUGGCUCGGCCAUGGCGACUAAAAAGGUUCUUUGCAAGUUCUUCAUGCAUGGAGCUUGCUUGAAAGGAGAAUACUGUGAAUUCUCCCACGACUGGAGUGAUCAAGCAAAUAAUGUUUGCACAUUCUACCAGAAAGGUGCAUGCUCGUAUGGUAGCCGUUGCAGAUAUGACCAUGUCAAAGUUUCUCGUAACCCCACAGUGCCACCACCACCCUCAACGUCAAGUGCUGCAAGACGUGUCACAUCUAAUUCUCUUCAACUUUUAAGUUACAGUCAUGCACCUCACACGGGACACCAAACUGAUUCAAGCAACCAAAGACAUCAGAUAUCUGUGGAUGUGCUGGCACAUUCUGCCAGUAAGCCUGCAUGGAGAAAUGAUUUUCAACAUGACAUUGUUUCUGAUGAUGGAAUUGACUGGUCCUCUAAUCGAAAUUUGCUAAACGAAACAUCAUUGAAACCUGCGGAUCUGCCUAUUUGUUCUUUUGCUGCUGCUGGUAAUUGUCCUUAUGGGGAAGGGUGCCCUCAAAUGCAUGGAGAUCUGUGUGCAACCUGUGGAAAAAUGUGCUUGCAUCCUCAUCGUCCUGAUGAGAGGGAGGAGCAUAUCAAGGUAUGUGAGAAAAAUCACAAACGCCUUGAAGCUCUGAAACGCAGCCAAGAAAUAGAAUGCAGUGUAUGUUUGGAUCGUGUGCUUUCAAAGCCUACUGCUGCUGAAAGGAAGUUCGGACUGUUAUCCGAAUGUGAUCAUCCUUUCUGUAUUGCAUGCAUUAGAAAUUGGCGUAGCAAUUCUCCUGCAUCUGGUAUGGAUGUGAACUCAGCACUGAGGGCUUGUCCAAUAUGUCGGAAACUUUCAUACUAUGUCAUUCCAAGUGUUCUUUGGUACUUCUCGAAGGAAGAGAAAGAGGAGAUCACUGAAAGCUACAAAUCCAAGCUCAAGUCUAUUGAUUGCAAGUACUUUGACUUUGGGACUGGCUCAUGCCCCUUUGGAACAAGUUGUUUCUACAGGCAUGCCUACAGAGAUGGCCGCUUGGAAGAGGUUGUACUACGGCAUCUUGAUGCUGAUGAUGGAAGUACAGUAAUUGCAAAAGACAUCAGGUUAUCAGACUUCCUCGGUAGGAUGCAUCUUUAGGGACCAGCAGCUGUAUAGAUAUCAAAUGCUUUCUGGGAUAUCGUUAUCCACCAAUUAUUUACAAUAUUCUGAAGAGCAGUUUAGCUUGAGGCAUCUUCGGAAAGUACAGCUUUGUCUCCAUUUAGUGGUGGUUGCUUUGUCGCCAGUUGAAAUAAGGCAAUCCUUAAAGUUUGAAGAUCUCUAUGGUCCUGUAGACGCUGGGAUUACCUUUUCAAAGCACUGUUGACCUGAGGACAAUGGAAAGAAGUCUGACAACAAUUGUGCUUGAAUACCAAAACAGAAGCAAUACUGUUUAUAGACUUCACUAUAUGUGCUCUAUGUAUCAAUUGCUGGUCUUCUAGGCCACCAGAAGAGUAAAAGGCAGGCGUAUAAGUUUACUUCCCUUUUACCUCAAUGUUGUUCUCAUAUUGUGGAAUGGUACUGCACCAAUGGGUCGAAUAAGGUCAUUUGGUUGUAUUACUUAAUAUACAAAAAAAAAAGGUAUAGCAGAUGAAAUACAGAAUGACAAUUGUAAUGCAGUAUUGUUGAAUGUGAGCGUGAGCGGUGCUUUUCAUCUAUGACCUGCUAAGUAAGGUCCUCUUAGUAGCAGGUGAACUGAGAUAAUUUUUUGCUUAUAUACA